CUCCAGACUCCUACGGGAGGCAGCAGUGAGGAAUAUUGGUCAAUGGGCGAGAGCCUGAACCAGCCAAGUCGCGUGAAGGAUGACGGCCCUACGGGUUGUAAACUUCUUUUGUCAGGGAGCAAUUGAGUCCACGUGUGGGCUUAGCGAGAGUACCUGAAGAAAAAGCAUCGGCUAACUCCGUGCCAGCAGCCGCGGUAAUACGGAGGAUGCGGGCGUUAUCCGGAUUUAUUGGGUUUAAAGGGUGCGUAGGUGGUUAAUUAAGUCAGCGGUGAAAGUUUGUGGCUCAACCAUAAAAUUGCCGUUGAAACUGGUUGACUUGAGUAUAUUUGAGGUAGGCGGAAUGCGUGGUGUAGCGGUGAAAUGCAUAGAUAUCGCGCAGAACUCCGAUUGCGAAGGCAGCAUGCCGGCUCCACACUGACGCUGAGGCACGAAAGCGUGGGUAUCGAACAGGAUUAGAUACCCCUGUACA
rnacentral:rRNA from 1 species